AAGCACCUUCCACCUUCCACACAGCGCGAAAAGAAGACACACUGAUGAUGGGAAAUAUGGCCCGAGGCAGAUGGCGAGAAAGCUGCGCUGGCGGCCAGAAGGGAUCGGAGCCAGCUGGAGCCACGAGUCAGGGCAGACUCUCAAAGCUCAGUUUCCUUGGGUUAGCUCUCCAUCUAGCCCUGAGGUCGACACCCUAAACUUCUGGGACCCCAGGAAUGUGGGAUUCAGAGAGGCCAGUUCGGCUGGAGACAGUUCCACACCAAGGAUGCUUUUCCCAAGGACACAGUCCCUAUCUUCUAGGUGCCUGGACUCCACACGUGCCAAGUGCUCCUGAAAUGAAGUUCUAGAACCCACAGCCACUGGACAGGUCUCUAGUGGAAAAGCAAUGCCUACUCCAGCAUAUGUUCAGAGCAUGAAACUUGACCCUGAUUGCAUCCUGUUACUUGACUUGUAGACCUCACUCUGUUUGUGCCUGCCCAUCAGUGCCUUCUUAGUAAAGGAAAACCCUAGUGCCAUGGCUGCCUCUCUCAGGCCCCUCUGAGAGGAGGCUGCUCCUGAGUCUUUGUAUUUUGUCUUUCAAGAAACACAUGUCGGAUGCUUCGUAAAAUGUCAAAGAUCCCAUUGAAAAUAAAUUUAUUUUUAUUUUAUUUUCU
ensembl:processed_transcript A430093F15Rik RIKEN cDNA A430093F15 gene